AAAGUAGAUGGGUAUUCACAAUAUUUUUCAUAAAAGGUAAAACAAAGAAAAGUGUACCAAAAAUUCCAUUUUGUAAAUCUGAUUCUUACAUGUGUAAACAUGGUGUGCCAAGAAAAACUUUUUCUCCUGUUUCUGGUUUUCCUAUCUUAAAUCAUGCCCAUAUUCCACUUUAGUUAUCUUGCAUUGUUAACUAUCUUGCAUAAUUUGAGUAGAUAAACAUUUUCAAUAACAAGAGUGGGAAAACAUUUAUCUGCGGCAGAAAUAGGGGGGGAAAACCUGCUUUUAUCCUAGUGUAUCAUUCCCUUUUAAGUAUAAGCAAAUAUUUGUACUUAAAAAUACUAUUAAAUUGUUUAGGCCCAGAAUUUCACUCAAGUUAAAAUUCUUGUAAACUGUAAAUAAUUGCAAACUGUACAUGUCUCCAGACUGUAGAUAUUUUUUAAAUGUAUCAUUGUUACUGGGAACUUUAAAAUUAAUUUUAUGUAUAACCUCACAAUUGUUGCUACUGAGAUUGCUUUUGUUAGUAAUGGGUACAUAGAUCAACACAUUCUGUUCUUAGAACUAUGCUGGCAUAGUAACAGACUGUGAACAAGAGAUGAAAAAUCUGUAUUUGCCAAUGGAAAAGGUCAAAUCUUACAGGAAGCUUCCAAGCCUCUUUUUCUAGAUUAGGGUAGGUUUUCAAAAAUUUCCCACUUACACUUUCAGUUCCACCAUCUUGGGCAAGAUUGAGCACCUUCAUUUGAUUGUCUACCAGUGAUCACUGUUUUAAAACACCAUAUUGAUUAUACCUGCUCUGAGCAAAGUUGCAUAAUGUAGUGCUUUAAAAUCAGGCACACUUUCUAUGGUGUACUGCAGAGGUCUUCCAAAAGUUGCUAACAUAGAACUCAACUGGUAUUGGGAAAGCCACAUCAUUUUUUAAAAAAAUAAAACAGGAUGAGGGUACAAUAUUACCAACAGCGUUUGUACAAAGAACAAACUCCAUCUUCUGUGCACAUGAGGUGUUAGUACAGUGCCUGGACUUGCACAUUCUAGAGCAGAUACUAGGAAAUGACAUGUCAAACAGACAUUUUCUAAAGUCUGUGCACAGGCCUUUGUGCUUAUCUUGGUAGGUAAGCAUACCUAGAAGAGAGCCUGCAUUUUCUUAAAAGGAGAUCAGCUAGUCCUUAAAAACUUGCCAUGGGAAUUUAAUUUUAACUCAUUUAUGUAUGUGUGUAUAUAUACAUGUGUAUGUA